GCUGGAGAGUUCACGUCUUGCGGGGAUAGUAAGAGAUAUGAAGGCACUUACCAGUUCUGAAAACACCUUGCCUUGGUUGUCUAACAGUUUUUCCACCAGACUGCGGUUUGCUUUCAGUGAAAAUUGCUCCGUAUACAGAUGUAUUUUUGAAGUGUUCAUGGCAGGAGGUAUCUCCUGUCCAUUGAUACUUCCAUUUUGAAAAGGACUGAUGUUGAAGCUGAAACUCCAAUCCUUUGGCCACCUGAUGUGAAGAGCUGACUCACUGGAAAAG